rnacentral:lncRNA from 1 species
AUCUGAAAAAGGAGUCUCUUUUCUUCCCCCUGGGAAUAUCUCUGGUGAAAAAUGCUAAAAUAGAAACUCCAGAAAAUUUAAAAGAAACGGAAGAAAAGAAAAAAAGAUGUUAAAAAAAAGGCAAGGGAAGGAAGGGAGGAGUAGACAUGAACAGGAAAUGCUGGGAUCGAAAACAGACUGAAGUGUUUUUUUUUGGUGGGGGGAAUCAAGGCCUAAAGGGCACGAAGAAGAAAAUCAGUGAUGAUCAAGCUGGCCUGGAGUCAGAAUGAGAGGGGCUAGUCAUCACCAGAGUGGGACGCAGGAGGCUGAGGAAGGGGGUGCCGAGGUGCUCUGUAGAAGAGGGGGAUUGAUAAGGUGACAGGAGGGGGUCGGCGCGGGCGCCGGGGUUCGCGGCGAGGCAAGGAAGAAUCAGGGGCAGGGGCAGUUGCGGGGCCACUCACCCGGCUCCGGCGCGUCCUUUCACUGCCGCCGGCGAGUGCUGGGGCUUCGGCCCAGGCAGGGGGGGCCCAGGGUGGAGAGCACGAGGGCCUGGCCCAGGCACGGCCGGCGCCUCCGCCCUCGAGGAGGGCGUCACCUCAGCUCCCCCCGGCGGCGGAGCCGGCGGGCUCAGGCGGGCGCGGCUGAGGGGAGCGGACCGCGGGGGGCGGGAGAUGACUGCGCCCAAGGCCUUUGCGGGCCUCAGCCGGCCCCAGAGGAAGGGGAACCCGUCGAGCGGUUUGGUGCGUGUGAAGCGCGACAUGGCGAGGAAGCGGACAAGCCCGGGUGGCCCGGCGUGUAGAGGGAAGGGGGCGGGGCUAGACGCGGCCUGGACAACUACUAGAGCGCCUCGGGCUGUGCUGCUCGAGACUACAUUUCCCAGAGCGACGCGCGCGGAGCGGGCGGGAAAGAGAGCGUUUCGGGUCCAGUGCGCAGGUGCGAAAGCCAUCUUUGGUUAUAUAAGGGAGGUUCAGGAAGCCAUUCGUUCUUUCGCGUCUGCGGUGCCCGGAGUGUGGUACUUCUCCUAGUUGCAGUCAGGCUUCAUACGCUAUUGUCCUGCCCGUAAGUUCCCGUUUUGUGUGUGGUUAGAGCAGCCAGCGGGUACAGAAUGGAUUUUGGAAGAGGGAGUCACCACUGGACCUCCAAGGAAGCCACGUGCAGACAUCUACAACCUUCGAUCUCCUGACGAGAGUGAAAGAACCUUGUUAGUGAAGAGGCGUUUAACAUUUUAAUGCCACUUAAACAUAUUUUUGGAUUCCAUUCUUCCUGUGUGUUGGGGCGCUUAAAUUUCCAAGUGGAGGGAUGAUUUAUUGACAUAUUUUGGAAAGCCAAAUGUGUUUUUCUGUUGAACUAGCCACUCAAACCAGUGCCCGACUACAUAACUAAUAUUUUUGCUAGAGUCCAGGAGUGAGGCGUUUACAAAGUCUGGGCUUCAUGGGAACACAUGUGAAGCUUAUUGUUCCAGAUUGUUCUUUUGUCAGGUUUAUUGUUGGCCAAAACCAGGCUUUGAUUGAACCAGGAUGAAUGCGGGUGUUGGAAGUAGAAUAUAUAUAUACAUAUAAAAUUGGUUGGGAGCCACGUGUACCAGUGUGUGUUGAUCUUGGCUUGAUUCAGUCUGCCUUGUAACAGGUACAGGGUAUGAUACAGCAUCCUACAAGAAUGAGCAAACCUAUUCUGAUGGCAGGAGAUUGAGGACGAACUGGCGAUGGAAUAUGAGAGGAGCCCUCUGGAAAGAAAAGGACAGACCCUGUGCUUUCAUGAAAGUGAAGAUCUGGCUGAACCAGUUCCACAAGGUUACUGUAUACAUAGCCUGAGUUUAAAAGGCUGUGCCCACUUCAAGAAUGUCAUUGUUAGACUUUGAAAUUUCUAACUGCCUACCUGCAUAAAGAAAAUAAAAUCUUUUAAAUCAAAAUGCGAUCUGUGAAAACCUGAAUUAGGUUUUGCCUGCCUGAGCUCCUCUAGUAGUGGCCACAAUUGCCAGAGAAGAUAGAGCAGGUCUCUCCCAGGACUUGCAGCUCCAGCCUGUGUCUGCAAGGGGUGUUGUAGCG